GGAAUAUAAAAACCCGUCUCUUGACUUUUAACUAGAAAUGCUAAGAACCGUUUCUUAGUUUUUUUAGUUAAAAGUUAAGAGAUGGAUUCUUAUAUUCU
rfam:Brassica napus, WGS project CCCW01000000 data, contig: 11674